rnacentral:rRNA from 1 species
GAUGAACGCUAGCGGCAGGCCUAAUACAUGCAAGUCGAACGGUGUAGCAAUACACAGUGGCGCACGGGUGCGUAACACGUAUGCAACCUACCUUACAUUGGGGGAUAGCCUUUCGAAAGGGAGAUUAAUACCGCAUAAGACAGUAACUAGGCAUCUAGUAGCUGUUAAAGAUUUAUCGAUGUAAGCUGGGCAUGCGUCCAAUUAGUUAGUUGGCGAGGUAAUGACUCACCAAGACGAUGAUUGGUAGGGGAACUGAGAGGUCAAUCUCCCACACUGGCACUGAGAUACGGGCCAGACUCCUACGGGAGGCAGCAGUAGGGAAUAUUGGGCAAUGGGCGCAAGCCUGACCCAGCCAUGCCGCGUGCAGGAAGAAGGCGUUAUGCGUUGUAAACUGCUUUUAUACAGGAAGAAACGACCCUUGCGAGGGGCAUUGACGGUACUGUAUGAAUAAGCACCGGCUAACUCCGUGCCAGCAGCCGCCGCGG